rnacentral:rRNA from 1 species
GACAGAGGCGCCGAGCGUUAGGCGGAAUCACUGGGCUUAAAGCGUGUGUAGGCGGACCGUUAAGUGUCUUGUGAAAUCCCACGGCUCAACCGUGGAACGGCUGGGCAUACUGGCGGUCUUGAGAGGCCUAGGGGCGAGCGGAACAGGCGGUGGAGCGGUGAAAUGCGUAGAUAUCGCCUGGAACGCCGACGGUGAAAACAGCUCGCUGGGGGCCUUCUGACGCUGAGACGCGAAAGCGUGGGGAGCGAACAGG